GACGAACGCUGGCGGCGUGCUUAACACAUGCAAGUCGAACGGAAAGGCCCUGCUUUUGUGGGGUGCUCGAGUGGCGAACGGGUGGGUAACACGUGAGUAACCUGCCCUUGACUUUGGGAUAACUUCAGGAAACUGGGGCUAAUACCGGAUAGGAGCUCCUGCUGCAUGGUGGGGGUUGGAAAGUUUCGGCGGUUGGGGAUGGACUCGCGGCUUAUCAGCUUGUUGGUGGGGUAGUGGCUUACCAAGGCUUUGACGGGUAGCCGGCAUGAGAGGGUGACCGGCCACAUUGGGACUGAGAUACGGCCCAGACUCCUACGGGAGGCAGCAGUGGGGAAUAUUGCACAAUGGGCGGAAGCCUGAUGCAGCAACGCCGCGUGCGGGAUGACGGCCUUCGGGUUGUAAACCGCUUUCGCCUGUGACGAAGCGUGAGUGACGGUAAUGGGUAAAGAAGCACCGGCUAACUACGUG
rnacentral:rRNA from 1 species